rnacentral:lncRNA from 1 species
UAAAGCUGGAGUUACACGAGCAACAAAAUUGCUGCAACUUGCAACAAAAUCUGAUUUCAACGCAUGUUAAGUAGAAAUGUCGACACAUGUUGCUUUGUGAUUUGUAAUUUAUGUGUAAACAUUUUCAAUUAACAUGCGUUGAAAUCAGAUUUUGUUGCAAGUUUAUCCAAAUCAAGAAAACGUCGGAGAGGGAUUCAAUUACCUGAAAAAUACAAGUAAAAAACUUCGACGUUUCGAGCGAAGGCCGGCGGGCCGGAAUCCCUCUCAAACCGACGUUUUCUGGUGUUAUUGUCACCACCUACUGUAGCAGGGUUCGUAGUCUCCAAGACCAAAAAUAUUCAAAGACUUUCAAAGAUUUUUUCUGCCUAUUUUCAAAGACCUUUCAAAGACUUUUGAGAGCAAUCAGCUGUCGAAAAAUUGCGAGCAUAGGCACCAUUUUUGCCCAGUAAUUAGUCCCGCCACAUCACAUCUUAAAAUGUACCUUUUCGUCGAUAUUUGCAAAAACCUUGCUCUUCAAUCAAUCUAUUUUAUUAGCUAUAGGAAAUCGUAUAAUCAAAUACUCACUAAAGAAUUGAUUUUAAAGAAUAAAGACUUUUAAAGACUUUCUUCGCUUUUUCACACAAUUCAAAGACUUUUCAAAGACCUUAAAGACCUGCAUUCAAAUUUAAAGACUUUCAAGGAUUUCAAAGACUGCUACGAACCCUGUUCUACACUUACUCGAACAGUCGAGAGUU